UCAUUCCCCUCCUUAUCCUUCCUCUUCUCUCCCCUCCCUUCCCUGCCCUUCCCCUCUGCCGCAGCCCAGCUCCUAGCGCGUCAGCCUGGGCUUCCCGGAGCGAGUCGCUAGGUAACAGGGCUAGCUCCGCAGACCCGGGCCAGGGAAGCCCGCGCGCGUCGUCAGCAUCUGCGCCGAGGGGCGGGGGACGCACUGACACUCCCCUAUCGGAGCCUGCAGACCCUUCAGCUGGUUCACAGUCCCCUCCCUGGAUGCCUUAAGGGUGGCUAUUGCCAUCGCGGAGUUGCCCCUCCCCUGCGGGGACCCCGACGUCGCCGCCCCUUCUCCUCCCACGCUGGUCCGCACCACUCUCCGCACCGCCAGCCACCCUCCGAGAUCUUCCCGCCGAGCCCAGGCGCGGGGCAUGAGGAGCCCCUGGGUGUCGCCUGCAGACAACCCAGCCUCGCGCACACCUCGCCAGUCGCUGACAGGGACAUGAACAGCAUGAUUGGGUUCCGGUGUCCAGCGGCCAGCCUCAGCCGGAGGCGGCCAGUGGUUCUGCGCUGCUUGGGAGAAUGAGGCAGGAACCCACGGCAACCUCUCUCUCCUCCUUCUCCUCGCCUUCCUCUGGCUCCCGCUCCCCGGACCCGGGCCGGGCUGUGGCUCUGCUGCGUGCCCUGCGCGCCCCCCACCUGCCUCCGGAUGCUCUUCUCGGUUAGCCUGGAGAGGAAGAUAAAGACAUUUGCAACCAAGAUGGUAAUCACGAGUGGAAACGACGAAGACCGGGGAGGCCAAGAGAAAGAGAGCAAAGAGGAGAGCGUGUUGGCCAUGCUGGGCAUCAUCGGGACCAUCCUGAACCUGAUCGUUAUCAUCUUUGUAUACAUAUAUACCACUCUAUGAAAGGCCCCACUCAGACCUCGGCGGCCUCAGGAUGGCCACGAGACAAGGGUCCUGUGCAUCCGUAUAUCAGCGACCACACACUGUGGGGGGGCCAGCAGGUUUGAAGACCACACAAUGCUCCAUCAAUGCACCUUCGAACUUUCUGACGGGUCACCUGAUGAACCUGUCCUUCUGUGAGGAGCAGACACUCUGAAGCACAAUGAAUCCAGUGGGACUCCUUCAGGCCACAAGGAACUCCCACAGGGGACCCAGCAGGAUGCUGGAAAGGCCAGCCUUCUGCACCAGUGGUGAGCACAAGGGUGAGGAAGUGCUUCACCCUGGAGUGCUGACCACAUCUCACACUGGAAAGAGGAUGCGUGGGGGAGUCGCAGCUCCGCUGCUCUCCUCCCAGGACUGGCAAGAUAAAUAAGCUCUAGGUGCGGUUCGUUGACAGGCAUUGCAUUCAUCAAAUGUUUCCAGCUGUUUGAUAUGGGAGAUAACUUAUUUUUCCUUUUUCAUUGGCUUGAUAUGUGUAUCUGUUCAUAUCGAGGUUUAUAAAUCUAUAUUUUUAAUAAAUGUGCUCUAUUUUUUAGCAUGAACCAAAUAUUUGGAGAAGCACUUCUGGACCCAUAGCUCUUCUUGGUUUUAAUCGCUUUUGCUCCAUCAGCUGCAAGAUGUUUUUGUCUGUAGUCAUCCAGUUGUCUCAGCUCAUCUCAAGCCUUGUCCCUCUGGUUCUUCUUCCUUCCCAUCCCUGCCCCUCCCUUCUCUCCUCUCUCUUUCCCCUGUCUCUCCCUUCCAUCUCUUAAUUCCCCUAUCCUUCCCCACCUCCCCCCCCCCAUCUCCUCUCUCCCCUCCUCCUCACCUCUUGUCUAGAGGACAUUUUCCCAUAAUACCAGCUGUGGUCUUGGCUGGUGUGUGCUUCAAGAUUGUUGAGCAGCUUUUCAUUGUUCUGUCAGAGAUAUAAAACGAUUGUGGGCAUGCAGACCUUAGAUGCACCCUGUCUUUAUUGAGAAUUAUGCAUGAACAAGGGCUGAGUGGCAGGCCAGCGUCUCCAGUUUUUAAAGGGACUACCAAGGAGGAAGAUGAGCAGCCCUGCCUGCAGGCCACCCUUGGGACAGAGCAGUCACCAGCUCAAGUGCAGUAUUGCUCAUUUGCUCCUGUAACCAUCCGAUUAUCAGAUUCUGAUUUUUUAUUUAUUUAUUUAUUUAUUUUUGUGACCGUGAGAGAUGGGAACGGGGCGAGCUCAAUGUUCAGUGCACCAGCCACCCCUUCCUUGGUGAGCUGCCUGGGGAGGUGGGGGGUGGGGUGGGAUCUCUUCAGAAGUCAGUGGGAUAUGAGGGAAGUGAGACCUCCCCGCUGUGAGAGUGCACACACAGUUCCUGCUGUAAAAACACUGCUGGGACAAGUGACCCUUCAAGGGCAUUGGGAGGGGACUUAAUGGUCUCUGUUAAGGAGCCCUGCACAUUUUAAAGCUGUUUUUCCACCCACACAAAGCUCUUUUUUUUCUCUGAAGGGAUGGUUGAAUAAAUACAAGUUUGCCCUGCUCUCUGGCUCCGUAACACAGCCCCAACCUGGAUGCAGUGUACAGCUUUAAGGAGAGGGUCCGUAUUCAUUCUGCCAAGGGCAGAAGUGGCAGCACCCCCCCCCCUUUGGAUUCAGAUGACACUAAGGAGGGGCAUGUCUCUGCUUGCCCCCUUCCUUAAAUGGCACCAUGAAGGAGUCAUUUCUUGGGCUCCACUAAGGGACCAGUCUCUUUUAUAAAUCAAAUACCCAUGAGCACCUGGCUCUGCCCAGAGAUGUCUCCUCUUCCCCACCAGAAGGACGUAUACUUUGUACACAAGUAGCCAGGCUCUCUUAGUUGCUGGUGAGAGGGAGAGUCUUUAUCUCUCACCUGUGAGGUGGAAGGAAGAAGAAAGGACAGCUCAGACCAGCAAUCUUCCCUGAGGUUUCCUGGCACCCAAUGGAGUCAGAUUCUAGCCUCACCUGCCCAGUUCCUUAUCCCAGCGAGGACUUGGAUGCUGUUGUGGGAUGCUGAUGAGGAUGGUGACUGUGGCUGGAAAGCCUGUCGCUUUGCUGAGGAUCAACCCAGCACACACACACACACGCACACACACACACACACACACCACACAACAGGAAACAACCUUAGAACUCCUUGGACACUGACACAAAUAAAAGACAGGGGAAAGGCUGGUUAGGAAGAUGGGAGGCACCCCGGAGCGAGCGCUACCUACCAGGCUGUGUGAUUCUUGACAAACUGUAAUUCUGCAAAGUGGACUAAACAAACAAUAAAGGUGCAGUGGGGGAAACUAUUGGUGUCGCCAACUUCCUCAUGAGCCUGUGUGUAAUUGUUUGAUUUAAUAAAACUUGACCGUGGCUGUA
ensembl:lincRNA uncharacterized LOC110307483